CCCUUAGAUGUUCUGGGCCGCACGCGCGCUACACUGUUCGACGCAGCGAGUCUUAACCUUGACCGAAAGGUUUGGGUAAUCUUCAGCAAAGUCGAACGUGAUGGGGAUCGAUCAUUGCAAUUAUUGAUCGUGAACGAGGAAUUCCUAGUAAGUGCAAGUCAUCAGCUUGCGCUGAUUACGUCCCUGCCCUUUGUACACACCGCCCGUCGCUACUACCGAUUGAAUGGUUUAAUGAGAUCUCUGGAUUGACGCUGGCUAGGGGGCGACCCUUGGCCAGACUGUUGAGAAACUGCUCAAACUUGAUCAUUUAGAGGAAGUAAAAGUCGUAACA
rnacentral:rRNA from 1 species